rnacentral:miRNA from 1 species
AACUGUGACUCUUCUUCCUGC